rnacentral:tRNA from 1 species
GGCCCCGUCGUCUAGCGGCCUAGGACACUGGCCUUUCACGCCGGCAACACGGGUUCGAUUCCCGUCGGGGUCA